rnacentral:rRNA from 1 species
UACGUCAGGGUGCGAGCGUUGUCCGGAAUUAUUGGGCGUAAAGAGCUCGUAGGCGGUUUGUCGCGUCGGCCGUGAAAACUUGGGGCUUAACCCCGAGCCUGCGGUCGAUACGGGCAGACUUGAGUUCGGCAGGGGAGACUGGAAUUCCUGGUGUAGCGGUGAAAUGCGCAGAUAUCAGGAGGAACACCGGUGGCGAAGGCGGGUCUCUGGGCCGAUACUGACGCUGAGGAGCGAAAGCGUGGGGAGCGAACAGG